GGGAAAAAAGCAUAUAUGCGGUUAACUUGAAAUUAACAGAUGGCAGACUAAACCUGCCUUUUCUCG
rnacentral:tRNA from 1 species